rnacentral:rRNA from 1 species
AUGUGGGCUAUUUGGUCGGCACGGCGAAAGGUGAUACAUGAAGGUAUUUUCCAGAGCCCUCAAUCCACACAUGCAUUUGUAAACAGGUAUAUAUCAGAUUUGGAAAUAGUUGGCGCUAGCAACCCGUGGGCCGCCCAGGGACCGGUAUUGCAUGUGACGCCUGCUGCUAGACCAAAGGCUCCUCCAAUGGGAUAUGCAAAAAUUCAUGUGGACGCAGGAGUCAGGUUCGAGCGAGGAGGCGCCGCUGCUGCUAUCUGCAGAGAUGACCAAGGGGUCUAUCUUGGAAGUUCAGCACUCGUUAUUUAUGGUGUAUGCGAUCCUACUGCUUUGGAGGCAAUCGCUUGCCGGGAGGCCUUAGCCUUGGCAGAGGACCUCAACUUGCAACAAUUUAUCAUAGCCUCAGAUUGCAAAGAAGUUGUCUCGGACAUUCAGAAGGGGACCGGAGGCCAAUAUAGUUCCAUCAUGAGCGAAAUAAAACUCAGUGCUUCUACGUUUAAUUGUAAUUUCAUUUGGGAGGGCCGUGCCGUAAACUAUGAGGCACAUAGAUUAGGUAAAUUUGCUCUUUCGCAGGGUUCGGGACGCCAUUUAUGGCUUGGAAACCCCCAUGACCUUUCAUGUAUCCCACUUCAUGUGGAUUUCGGUGAUGAAUAA